rnacentral:rRNA from 1 species
GACGAACGCUGGCGGCGUGCUUAACACGUGCAAGUCGAACGGAAAGGCCCUGCUUUUGUGGGGUGCUCGAGUGGCGAACGGGUGAGUAACACGUGAGUAGCCUGCCCUUGACUUUGGGAUAACUUCAGGAAACUGGGGCUAAUACCGGAUAGGAGCUCCUGCUGCAUGGUGGGGGUUGGAAAGUUUCGGCGGUUGGGGAUGGACUCGCGGCUUAUCAGCUUGUUGGUGGGGUAGUGGCUUACCAAGGCUUUGACGGGUAGCCGGCCUGAGAGGGUGACCGGCCACAUUGGGACUGAGAUACGGCCCAGACUCCUACGGGAGGCAGCAGUGGGGAAUAUUGCACAAUGGGCGGAAGCCUGAUGCAGCAACGCCGCGUGCGGGAUGACGGCCUUCGGGUUGUAAACCGCUUUCGCCUGUGACGAAGCGUGAGUGACGGUAAUGGGUAAAGAAGCACCGGCUAACUACGUG